ACAACCUUAACUUAAUUGGUCGAGUAUAAGCCUUCUAAGCUUCAAAAUCUUGGUUCGAAUCCAAGAGGUUGUA
rnacentral:tRNA from 2 species